AAGGGGUGACGGCGUACCUUUUGUAUAAUGGGUCAGCGACUUACGUUCAGUAGCAAGCUUAACCGUAUAGGGCAGGCGUAGCGAAAGCGAGUCCGAAUAGGGCGUUCAGUUGCUGGGCGUAGACCCGAAACCAGGUGAUCUAUCCAUGGCCAGGAUGAAGGUGCGGUAACACGUACUGGAGGUCCGAACCCACUAACGUUGAAAAGUUAGGGGAUGAGCUGUGGAUAGGGGUGAAAGGCUAAACAAACCUGGAAAUAGCUGGUUCUCUCCGAAAACUAUUUAGGUAGUGCCUCGUGUCUCACCUUCGGGGGUAGAGCACUGUCAUGGUUGGGGGGUCUAUUGCAGAUUACCCCGCCAUAGCAAACUCCGAAUACCGAAGAGUGCAAUCACGGGAGACAGACAUCGGGUGCUAACGUCCGGUGUCAAGAGGGAAACAACCCAGACCGCCAGCUAAGGUCCCCAAAUAUAGCUAAGUGGGAAACGAAGUGGGAAGGCUAAAACAGUCAGGAGGUUGGCUUAGAAGCAGCCACCCUUUAAAGAAAGCGUAAUAGCUCACUGAUCGAGUCGUCCUGCGCGGAAGAUGUAACGGGGCUAAGCUAUAUACCGAAGCUGCGGAUGCGAGCUUGCUCGCAUGGUAGGAGAGCGUUCCGUAAGCCUGCGAAGGUGCCUUGUAAAGGGUGCUGGAGGUAUCGGAAGUGCGAAUGCUGACAUGAGUAGCGAUAAAGGGGGUGAAAGGCCCCCUCGCCGUAAGCCCAAGGUUUCCUACGCAACGUUCAUCGGCGUAGGGUGAGUCGGCCCCUAAGGCGAGGCAGAAAUGCGUAGCUGAUGGGAAGCAGGUCAAUAUUCCUGCACCAUUGUUAGAUGCGAUGGGGGGACGGAUCGCGGAAGGUUGUCCGGGUGUUGGAAGUCCCGGUCGCUGCAUUGGAGAAGGCGCUUAGGCAAAUCCGGGCGCAGGAUUCAAGGGUGUGGCGCGAGCUCCUUAGGGAGCGAAGCAAUUGGAAGUGGUUCCAAGAAAAGCCUCUAAGCUUCAGUCUAACGAUGACCGUACCGCAAACCGACACAGGUGGGCGAGAUGAGUAUUCUAAGGCGCUUGAGAGAACUCGGGAGAAGGAACUCGGCAAAUUGGUACCGUAACUUCGGGAUAAGGUACGCCCUUGUAGCUUGACUGGCCUGCGCCAGGAGGGUGAAGGGGUUGCAAUAAACUGGUGGCUGCGACUGUUUAAUAAAAACACAGCACUCUGCAAACACGAAAGUGGACGUAUAGGGUGUGACGCCUGCCCGGUGCCGGAAGAUUAAAUGAUGGGGUGCAAGCUCUUGAUUGAAGUCCCGGUAAACGGCGGCCGUAACUAUAACGGUCCUAAGGUAGCGAAAUUCCUUGUCGGGUAAGUUCCGACCUGCACGAAUGGCGUAACGAUGGCCACACUGUCUCCUCCCGAGACUCAGCGAAGUUGAAGUGUUUGUGAUGAUGCAAUCUACCCGCGGCUAGACGGAAAGACCCCAUGAACCUUUACUGUAGCUUUGCAUUGGACUUUGAACCGAUCUGUGUAGGAUAGGUGGGAGGCUAUGAAACCGGAACGCUAGUUUCGGUGGAGCCGUCCUUGAAAUACCACCCUGGUUUGUUUGAGGUUCUAACCUUGGCCCGUGAUCCGGGUCGGGGACAGUGCAUGGUAGGCAGUUUGACUGGGGCGGUCUCCUCCCAAAGCGUAACGGAGGAGUACGAAGGUACGCUAGGUACGGUCGGAAAUCGUGCUGAUAGUGCAAUGGCAUAAGCGUGCUUAACUGCGAGACCGACAAGUCGAGCAGGUGCGAAAGCAGGUCAUAGUGAUCCGGUGGUUCUGUAUGGAAGGGCCAUCGCUCAACGGAUAAAAGGUACUCUGGGGAUAACAGGCUGAUACCGCCCAAGAGUUCAUAUCGACGGCGGUGUUUGGCACCUCGAUGUCGGCUCAUCUCAUCCUGGGGCUGUAGCCGGUCCCAAGGGUAUGGCUGUUCGCCAUUUAAAGAGGUACGUGAGCUGGGUUUAAAACGUCGUGAGACAGUUUGGUCCCUAUCUGCCGUGGGCGUUGGAUAUUUGAAGGGGGCUGCUCCUAGUACGAGAGGACCGGAGUGGACGAACCUCUGGUGUACCGGUUGUCACGCCAGUGGCAUCGCCGGGUAGCUAUGUUCGGAAGAGAUAACCGCUGAAAGCAUCUAAGCGGGAAACUCGCCUUAAGAUGAGAUAUCCCUGGGGACUAGAUCCCCUUGAAGGGUCGUUCGAGACCAGGACGUUGAUAGGUCAGGUGUGUAAGCGCAGUAAUGCGUUCAGCUAACUGAUACUAAUUGCCCGUAAGGCUUGAUCCUAUAACG
rnacentral:rRNA from 1 species